CAGAAUUAAAGUAUGGAGAUCGAAAUUACGGAAAGCCCCUUAUCUGGAAAACCCCAGGUCCUGAGCAUUCUGGAUUACAGCUCCCAUACCUGUACUGGUGGUAGAAGACUAUUUGCUGCUGAGAUGUGACUCUUUCCCAGCUGUGUGAAAUCCCAUUGGCUGUGUUCCCUCCAAUCAAUGGCCCCUUACUGACUGGCGCAAUCACUUUCCCUUUACACCUUCUUGCCUUUUACAACUCAAUUGAUCUAGAAAAUGUCCACGUUCAACCAAAAUAAAGAAAAAAAACAACCGUU